CCCAGACUCCUACGGGAGGCAGCAGUGGGGAAUAUUGCACAAUGGGGGAAACCCUGAUGCAGCGACGCCGCGUGAGUGAAGAAGUAUUUCGGUAUGUAAAGCUCUAUCAGCAGGGAAGAAAUAGCGACCUUUGGGUCGCCAGACGGUACCUGAUUAAGAAGCCCCGGCUAACUGCGUGCCAGCAGCCGCGGUAAUACGUAGGGGGCAAGCGUUAUCCGGAUUUACUGGGUGUAAAGGGAGCGUAGACGGCAGCGCAAGUCUGAAGUGAAAUGCCGGGGCUUAACCCCGGAACUGCUUUGGAAACUGUGCAGCUAGAGUGCAGGAGAGGUAAGUGGAAUUCCUAGUGUAGCGGUGAAAUGCGUAGAUAUUAGGAGGAACACCGGCGGCGAAGGCGGCCUGCUGGACUGAAACUGACGUUGAGGCUCGAAAGCGUGGGGAGCAAACAGGAUUAGAUACCCUCGUAAC
rnacentral:rRNA from 1 species